UACGUAGGUGGCAAGCGUUGUCCGGAUUUAUUGGGUUUAAAGGGUGCGUAGGCGGUCAUGUAAGUCAGCGGUGAAAUCCGGCAGCUCAACUGUCGAUGUGCCAUUGAUACUGCAUGACUUGAGUACUGAUGAGGUAGGGCGGAAUUGACGGUGUAGCGGUGAAAUGCUUAGAUAUCGUCAAGAACACCGAUAGCGAAGGCAGCUUACUAAGCAGUAACUGACGCUGAUGCACGAAAGUGUGGGGAGUCAA
rnacentral:rRNA from 1 species